CGGAGUGUAGCGCAGUCUGGUAGCGCACCACGCUGGGGGUGUGGGGGCCGUGGGUUCAAAUCCCGCCACUCCGACCA
rnacentral:tRNA from 1 species